CAGGAGAGGGUUACAGCAGCUGCGUAGAAAUGAGGCAUGCUUGCCCAGCUGGUGACGCGCGCUGCUAUUAAUCAUUCACCAGCCGGGGAGCAGCAAUCGCCGCGGCUCGGAGCGAGCGGCGCUGGCAGCCGCGUCUCCCCCGAUGCCCGCGUCCCGGGGGGGGGGGGGGGGGGGGGGGGGGGGGGGGGGGGGGGGGGGGGGGGGGGGGGGGGGGGGGGGGGGGGG
rnacentral:lncRNA from 12 species